CUUCGCUGACGAGUGGCGGACGGGUGAGUAAUGUCUGGGAAACUGCCUGAUGGAGGGGGAUAACUACUGGAAACGGUGGCUAAUACCGCAUAACGUCGCAAGACCAAAGAGGGGGACCUUCGGGCCUCUUGCCAUCAGAUGUGCCCAGAUGGGAUUAGCUAGUUGGUGAGGUAACGGCUCACCAAGGCGACGAUCCCUAGCUGGUCUGAGAGGAUGACCAGCCACACUGGAACUGAGACACGGUCCAGACUCCUACGGGAGGCAGCAGUGGGGAAUAUUGCACAAUGGGCGCAAGCCUGAUGCAGCCAUGCCGCGUGUAUGAAGAAGGCCUUCGGGUUGUAAAGUACUUUCAGCGGGGAGGAAGGUGUUGUGGUUAAUAACCGCAGCAAUUGACGUUACCCGCAGAAGAAGCACCGGCUAACUCCGUGCCAGCAGCCGCGGUAAUACGGAGGGUGCAAGCGUUAAUCGGAAUUACUGGGCGUAAAGCGCACGCAGGCGGUCUGUCAAGUCGGAUGUGAAAUCCCCGGGCUCAACCUGGGAACUGCAUUCGAAACUGGCAGGCUUGAGUCUUGUAGAGGGGGGUAGAAUUCCAGGUGUAGCGGUGAAAUGCGUAGAGAUCUGGAGGAAUACCGGUGGCGAAGGCGGCCCCCUGGACAAAGACUGACGCUCAGGUGCGAAAGCGUGGGGAGCAAACAGGAUUAGAUACCCUGGUAGUCCACGCCGUAAACGAUGUCUACUUGGAGGUUGUGCCCUUGAGGCGUGGCUUCCGGAGCUAACGCGUUAAGUAGACCGCCUGGGGAGUACGGCCGCAAGGUUAAAACUCAAAUGAAUUGACGGGGGCCCGCACAAGCGGUGGAGCAUGUGGUUUAAUUCGAUGCAACGCGAAGAACCUUACCUGGUCUUGACAUCCACAGAAGAAUCCAGAGAUGGAUUUGUGCCUUCGGGAACUGUGAGACAGGUGCUGCAUGGCUGUCGUCAGCUCGUGUUGUGAAAUGUUGGGUUAAGUCCCGCAACGAGCGCAAC
rnacentral:rRNA from 1 species